AUGAACGCUGGCGGCGUGCCUAAUACAUGCAAGUCGAGCGAACAGACGAGGAGCUUGCUCCUCUGACGUUAGCGGCGGACGGGUGAGUAACACGUGGAUAACCUACCUAUAAGACUGGGAUAACUUCGGGAAACCGGAGCUAAUACCGGAUAAUAUAUUGAACCGCAUGGUUCAAUAGUGAAAGACGGUUUUGCUGUCACUUAUAGAUGGAUCCGCGCCGCAUUAGCUAGUUGGUAAGGUAACGGCUUACCAAGGCGACGAUGCGUAGCCGACCUGAGAGGGUGAUCGGCCACACUGGAACUGAGACACGGUCCAGACUCCGACGGGAGGCAGCAGUAGGGAAUCUUCCGCAAUGGGCGAAAGCCUGACGGAGCAACGCCGCGUGAGUGAUGAAGGUCUUCGGAUCGUAAAACUCUGUUAUUAGGGAAGAACAAAUGUGUAAGUAACUAUGCACGUCUUGACGGUACCUAAUCAGAAAGCCACGGCUAACUACGUG
rnacentral:rRNA from 1 species